rnacentral:rRNA from 1 species
GACGUAGGGGACGAGCGUUGUCCGGAUUUAUUGGGCGUAAAGCGCGCGCAGGCGGCCCGCUAAGUCGGAUGUGAAAUCCCGCGGCUCAACCGCGGAACUGCACUCGAUACUGGUGGGCUUGAGGCAGGUAGGGGAGAUCGGAAUUCCUGGUGUAGCGGUGAAAUGCGCAGAUAUCAGGAGGAACACCGGUGGCGAAGGCGGAUCUCUGGGCCUGUCCUGACGCUGAGGCGCGAAAGCUAGGGGAGCGAACAGG